CGUGUUUUCGCUUCUUGCUACCGCCCGCAGGGUUUAACGAAGAAGGGACGGUUAGGAUCGCGUGGUGGUACUUCUCAUUGCUCGUAGCUGGUCUAGGGUAAAAUGAGUAGUUCACAUGGGCCGGAUGCAGAGCCUUGAGCUUAAUUUUUGUUCUAGGGUUAAGUAAGGAGGAGCUCAUUGUAGAAUUAUAGAAUCAACCCCCUGCUCAAAGUAGGAAUCCAAAUUAAAGCAUACCCGACAGGAGGCUGUCAAGCUGCUUCUUGAAUGCCUCCAGUGUUGCAGAGCCCAACACCUCCCUAAGUAAUUGAUUCCAUUGUCGUACUGCUCUAACAGUUACGAAGUUUUUCCUGAUGUUCAGUUGAAAUCCAGCUUCCUGUAACUUGAACCCAUUAUUCUGUGUCCUGCACUCUGGGACUAUUGAGAAGAUAUCCUGAAGAUAUCUGUGUGAUAACCUUUCAGAACUGUAAACCAUCUUGAGUGCUUGGGCAUUUAUCAGGAUCCCAGAAAGGCCUCAUCUGAAAAGGAGGCUUCUAACCCCAUGGAGAACCCCAGUACAGCUGGGAAUCUGGAAGAACCCACAAACAUCCCAAGGCAGCCCAAAGUGCCUAGGCUCAUAGGUGUCUCAGCUGAACCUCCCAGUUGCCCAUGAAACCAAAACCUUGCCUUCAUCUCCAAUUCUUCCACUUCAUCACCUGAGCCCUAACAGGGAAGGUAGUGGACCCAAUGGAAAGCCCAGAAUCAGCACGGGUGUGCUCUUCUGGCAUCUAUUACCUGGGGUCUCCUUGGGUACAAGGGUCUACCCAGGAGGAAGAAGAUGACUCAUCUGUGAACACGCACAUAGGCAUUUCGAAGAGUGUGAAUUUAGGUUAACAACAUUAAUAUAAUGGUGAAAUCCACUACAGCCUGAAGAGAUUUAUAUAUCACUUAAUCUCUACUUAAAUUCUUAAUGUGGAGCUUAAAUUAAGCUUAAACUAUGGAGAACUUUUACACAGGGGUUUACCUUGAGGUGAAGGUGAGUACAGGGCUGCCUUUGAUGCUGUUGGGACUACACAUACAGGUAUGCAAGCCAAAGGCAUGAUGAAUACCUAUCACAAUGGAUAUACACAAAAUUUUACAUGUCCUCAUCAUUUCAGAUCAGCCAAGAUAAUCAUAACAGUAUUGUUUAACAUGUGUUAUUUGUAAUCCUAACUAUAGCUGAUCUAGUAUUUGAUAGGGCCUUCUCAGUAGUGGCACCCUGUCUCUGGAACGAUCUCCCCUCUGAGCACCAAUGUUGUUCACCUUUUGAUGGCAGCUGAAGAUGCAUGGCUUUCCCAAGCCUUUGGUAGAAUUUGAGUUAAUAUGUCAGUUUCUCAACCUUCUAUCACUUGUUAUUUAUAUGUAUGUUGGGUUUUAGAUGAUGGUUUGUAGUUUAAUACUUUUUUCUGUGCAAAGUGAUGUUUGCACAUGUUUAUGUUUAGCUGUUAUUUUUAAUCCUUCAAAUUUUAUUAUAUUGGCCAUGUUUGCAUAGCUAAGUUCAGUCAUGGUUUAGCAUGAACACACUGGCUCCCAAGGAGGAGAUUGCAGCUAUUUUGCUACUUCCCUAGGCUUUUUAGGUUAGUGUUGCAUGGCAGAUAAGCCAAGUGUUGGUUUAGCAUGUUGU